AGAGUUUGAUCCUGGCUCAGGAUGAACGCUAGCUACAGGCUUAACACAUGCAAGUCGAGGGGAGACGACAUCGAAAGCUUGCUUUUGAUGGGCGUCGACCGGCGCACGGGUGAGUAACGCGUAUCCAACCUGCCCACCACUUGGGGAUAACCUUGCGAAAGUAAGACUAAUACCCAAUGACGUCUCUAGAAGACAUCUGAAGGAGAUUAAAGAUUUAUCGGUGAUGGAUGGGGAUGCGUCUGAUUAGCUUGUUGGCGGGGUAACGCCACAAGGCGACGAUCAGUAGGGGUUCUGAGAGGAAGGUCCCCCAGAUUGGAACUGAGGCACGGUCCAAACUCCUACGGGAGCA
rnacentral:rRNA from 1 species